CUGUUAACGGGAAAAAGUCAGUAUCUAAUGCAUCCUUACUUGCAACUGCUGCUGUUAAAACAACUGUAUCACCGUAACGAACGAGCACAGCCCCAUUUGCUUGUUUAGCAAGCUGGCCAAUUUCGACUGUCAGCGGACGUCCGCCAAAGUCUUGAGUAAAUACUUGUUUCUCUGACAUAUUUUGUUCUCCUUUUUUUGAGAACAUUGUUGACUCUACAUUCUACUAAACAAAUGUCAGCUUUCUGAAUAUUUUUUAUUCUGAAAGUUCACAUUUGCAUAGUAGCAAGCGAAUAAAA
rnacentral:antisense_RNA from 1 species